rnacentral:rRNA from 1 species
AGUGAACGCUGGCGGUAGGCCUAACACAUGCAAGUCGAACGGUAGCACAGUAAGAGCUUGCUCUUACGGGUGGCGAGUGGCGGACGGGUGAGGAAUACAUCGGAAUCUACUUUUUCGUGGGGGAUAACGUAGGGAAACUUACGCUAAUACCGCAUACGACCUACGGGUGAAAGCAGGGGAUCUUCGGACCUUGCGCGAUUGAAUGAGCCGAUGUCGGAUUAGCUAGUUGGCGGGGUAAAGGCCCACCAAGGCGACGAUCCGUAGCUGGUCUGAGAGGAUGAUCAGCCACACUGGAACUGAGACACGGUCCAGACUCCUACGGGAGGCAGCAGUGGGGAAUAUUGGACAAUGGGCGCAAGCCUGAUCCAGCCAUACCGCGUGGGUGAAGAAGGCCUUCGGGUUGUAAAGCCCUUUUGUUGGGAAAGAAAAGCAGCAGGUUAAUACCCCGCUGUUCUGACGGUACCCAAAGAAUAAGUACCGGCUAACUUCGUG